GACGAACGCUGGCGGCGUGCCUAAUACAUGCAAGUCGAGCGAAGUUUUUCUGGUGCUUGCACUAGAAAAACUUAGCGGCGAACGGGUGAGUAACACGUAAAGAACCUGCCUCAUAGACUGGGACAACUAUUGGAAACGAUAGCUAAUACCGGAUAACAGUAUUUCUCGCAUGAGAGAUAUUUAAAAGUUGGUUAUGCUAACACUAUGAGAUGGCUUUGCGGUGCAUUAGCUAGUUGGUGGGGUAAAGGCCCACCAAGGCGACGAUGCAUAGCCGACCUGAGAGGGUGAUCGGCCACACUGGGACUGAGACACGGCCCAGACUCCUACGCGAGGCAGCAGUAGGGAAUCUUCCGCAAUGGGCGAAAGCCUGACGGAGCAACGCCGCGUGAGUGAAGAAGGAUUUCGGUUCGUAAAGCUCUGUUGUUAGGGAAGAAUGGAUAUGUAGUAACUAUACAUGUAAGAGACGGUACCUAACCAGAAAGCCACGGCUAACUACGUG
rnacentral:rRNA from 1 species